CCUGCACCAUGUCUGUCUCAGCAGAGCUCAGUGCUGUCUGCACCAUGGCCUGGACUACUCUCCUCUCCUUCUUCCUCCUUCAUUUUACAGGGUCUUUCUCCCAACCUGUGCUGACUCAGUUACCCUCUGCCUCUGCUUCCCUUGGCGCCUCAACCAAGAUCACCUGCACUUUGAGUAGUGAGCACAGCACCUAUUACAUUCACUGGUACCAGCAGCAGCCAGACAAGGCUCCUAAGUAUUUGAUGUGUGUUGAGAAUGAUGGAAGCUACAGCAAGGGGGAUGGGAUCCAUGACCGCUUUUCUGGAUCCAGCUCUGGGGCUGACCACUACUUGAGCAUCUCCAACAUCCAGCCAGAGGAUGAGGCUGCCUACAUCUGUGGUGCAGGUUAUAGCAUUAACGGACAAUAUGGUUAA